UCCUGGGAUAGACAUGCUUGCU
rnacentral:piRNA from 1 species